rnacentral:misc_RNA from 1 species
GAUGAAGAACGUAGCGAAAUGCGAUAAGUAGUGUGAAUUGCAGAAUUCAGUGAAUCAUCGAAUCUUUGAACGCACAUUGCGCACCAUGGUAUUCCGUGGGGCAUGCCUGUUCGAGCGUCAUUUACCCCCUCAAGCUCCGCUUGGUGUUGGGCGUCUGUCCCGCUUCGCGCGCGGACUCGCCCCAAAGGUAUUGGCAGCGGUCGUGCCAGCUUCUCGCGCAGCACAUUGCGCUUCUCGAGGCACCGGUGGGCCCGCGUCCAUCAAGCUCACCCCCCCAGUUUGACCUCGGAUCAGGUAGGGAUACCCGCUGAACUUAAGCAUAUCAAUAAGCGGAGGA